CUGAGGUUACUGAGAUGAUGAAGCUUGUGGAGGUAGCUAAUAGCAGCUGGCAUAGCCUGCAAUGAAUUCCACUAUUUGAUUUCACAAGGAUAUGUUUAAAUCACCCACAAAAACAGAGGUGUUUUGUUGAAAGGAAAUCCAGGCAAAUAUUCCAGGCAAGAAUUUCAGCAUGUAAAAGAGAAAAUUAGUGUUGAUAACUGGGGAAUAAGAA